UAAUACAUCGGAACGUACCUCGUAGUGGGGGAUAACUCGGCGAAAGCCGUGCUAAUACCGCAUAUGCUCUACGGAGGAAAGCAGGGACCGCAAGGCCUUGUGCUAUGGGAGCGGCCGAUGUCCGAUUAGCUUGUUGGUGGGGUAAUGGCCUACCAAGGCGACGAUCGGUAGCUGGUCUGAGAGGAUGAUCAGCCACACUGGGACUGAGACACGGCCCAG
rnacentral:rRNA from 1 species